rnacentral:rRNA from 1 species
AGAACUUAGCAGAGAUGCUUUGGUGCCUUCGGGGAACUCUGAGACAGGUGCUGCAUGGCUGUCGUCAGCUCGUGUUGUGAAAUGCUGGGUUAAGUCCCGCAACGAGCGCAACCCUUAUCCCUUGUUGCCAGCGGUUAGGCCGGGAACUCAAAGGAGACUGCCAGUGAUAAACUGGAGGAAGGUGGGGAUGACGUCAAGUCAUCAUGGCCCUUACGAGUAGGGCCACACACGUGCUACAAUGGCGCAUACAAAGAGAAGCGACCUCGCGAGAGCAAGCGGACCUCAUAAAGUGCGUCGUAGUCCGGAUUGGAGUCUGCAACUCGACUCCAUGAAGUCGGAAUCGCUAGUAAUCGUGGAUCAGAAUGCCACGGUGAAUACGUUCCCGGGCCUUGUACACACCGCCCGUCACACCAUGGGAGUGGGUUGCAAAAGAAGUAGGUAGCUUAACCUUCGGGAGGGGCGCUUACCACUUUGUGAUUCAUGACUGGGGUGAAGUCGUAACAAGGUAAGCGUAGUGCU